GCUCUCUUUCAAUUCUCACCGGUUUAAAUUUGUUAGUACAAUCUUCCGCCAUCCUCCGCUGUUGGAGUAUCCCCGGCCGUAUCGUAACUAUGAAAGACAAGAUAUCCUUCCGAGCGAUUCUUCAAUGGCACUAUGGGUCUAUAACGCGGGCAUCCAAAACCCUGUAGUCGUCGAUGUACCGGCCAUACAUUGGGAUCCAGAAGAUGUAUUCACUAAAAGAUUAGAUGCUUUUAAACACUCUGUGUUAGUUACUGGCUGUUAGUAGCCACAAGACCAACAUCAAGACAAAGUGUACAUGAUGCUGCCUCAGACGGCGCUCAAUAUGGUAUACGCUUGCUCCAGUAUGAAUCGGCCAUUCCGUGGCAUUCAUUAGAUAAAGCAUAGUGUACAGAAGAUUCAGUGUCCUGCCACAACACUUGCUGUGCAGACAAAAGACCAGCAUCAAGAUUUAGACUCCGCCAGUACACCGUUUUUAACAAGUCCCAACUGAUGCCUGAAGCUCUUUUCUGAAGAUACAAGCCUGAGAGUCUGUUGAAUGAACUCUGAAAGUUUUUAUCCAAAUCAGCUAAUGUGUUUUUGUUUUAAAAAUCACUAGUUUCAUCUUGAGAGGAAAAUAGUGGAACACUCUGAAAUAAAAUGCAUUUAUUUUACACCAA